UACAGAGGUCCCAAGCGUUGUUCGGAUUCACUGGGCGUAAAGGGUGCGUAGGCGGUCAUUUAAGUCUGACGUGAAAUCUCCGGGCCUAACCCGGAAACUGCGUUGGAAACUAUCUGACUAGAGGAAUGGAGGGGAGACUGGAAUACUUGGUGUAGCAGUGAAAUGCGUAGAUAUCAAGUGGAACACCAGUGGCGAAGGCGAGUCUCUGGACAUUUCCUGACGCUGAGACACGAAGGCCAGGGGAGCAAACGGG
rnacentral:rRNA from 1 species